rnacentral:misc_RNA from 1 species
UCCGACUUAACGUCGGCAGUCUCAUUAGAGUGCCCAACUGAAUGUGGCAACUAAUGACAAGGGUUGCGCUCGUUGCGGGACUUAACCCAACAUCUCACGACACGAGCUGACGACAGCCAUGCAGCACCUGUGUCCCGGUUCCCUUUCGGGCACCAAGGCAUCUCUGCCAAGUUCCGGGCAUGUCAAGGGUAGGUAAGGUUUUUCGCGUUGCAUCGAAUUAAUCCACAUAAUCCACCGCUUGUGCGGGUCCCCGUCAAUUCCCUUGAGUUUUAACCUUGCGGCCGUACUCCCCAGGCGGUCAACUUCACGCGUUAGCUACGGUACCCAGGAAUCGCUUCCCGAACACCCAGUUGACAUCGUUUAGGGCGUGGACUAC